CCUACGGGUGGCAGCAGUGGGGAAUAUUGCACAAUGGGGGAAACCCUGAUGCAGCGACGCCGCGUGAGUGAAGAAGUAUUUCGGUAUGUAAAGCUCUAUCAGCAGGGAAGAAAAUGACGGUACCUGAUUAAGAAGCCCCGGCUACCUACGGGCCAGCAGCCGCGGUAAUACGUAGGGGGCAAGCGUUAUCCGGAUUUACUGGGUGGAAAGGGAGCAUAGACGGUAGCACCAGUCUGGAGUGAAAGGCCGGGGCUUAACCCCGGAACUGCUUUGGAAACUGUGCAGCUAGAGUGCAGGAGGGGUAAGUGGAAUUCGUGGUGUAGCGGUGAAAUGCGUAGAUAUUAGGAGGAACACCAGUGGCGAAGGCGGCUUACUGGACUGUAACUGACGUUGAGGCUCGAAAGCGUGGGGAGCAAACAGGAUUAGAUACCCCUGUAGUC
rnacentral:rRNA from 1 species